ACGUAGGGUGCAAGCAUUAAUCGGAAUUAUUGGGCGUAAAGGGCGCGUAGGCGGAUAGUCGAGUCUUGUGUGAAAUUUCGGGGCUCAACCUCGAAGCGGCACAGGAAACUCGCUGGCUUGGGGGUAGACGGAGAGAACGGAAUUCCAGAAGUAGGAGUGCAAUGCUGUAAUCCGUGGGGGAACACCUGUGGCGAAGGCGUCUCACUAGGUUGGCUCCGACAGUGAGGCGCGAAAGCGGGGGGAGCAAACAG
rnacentral:rRNA from 1 species